GCGCCUUUAGCUCAAUUGGUAGAGCAAAUGACUCUUAAUCAUUAGGUUCCGGGUUCGAGUCCCGGAGGGCGCACAA
rnacentral:tRNA from 5 species